CCCUUAACCUCUUCUUACACACCGCCUCUUUGUUCUCUAUUUCUCUCCCUCAUCUCUCUUCUCUACCCUUUCAACCUCUGAUUUGUUUUUGUUCAUGGCAAAACAUACAACUCUACAGUAAAGGGCAAUUUUCCUUUGGGAUGUGUUACUCCAUAGAAUUGAUUUCUAUUUUUCAUUUAUAACUGCAAAAUGUUCUCCAUUAUCGACUGCAUGAGAGAGGAAGUCAUAUACUGAGAUUUACUUUAGACUAUUGGUCAACUGUGAAGUCCUUUUAUUUCCCUUUUUCCAAUCCUUCCAAAAUCAGAUUUUUUGCACUGUGAAGUCGUUUGCUCCUUUUGUUAUUAUUAUUAUUUUUUUUGUUUCUCUUAAAAAUAUAGAUCAUAAUGGUGUCAUGUCCACCAGGAGGUUCUUUGACUUAUUUUAACAUGGUUUUUUUUAACAUAUGUUCUACUGUGUUUGUCAGGCUGAAGAGCUUGCCGCUGGACGAGAUGGUCAAUCACGUAGCCACUGAAUCAUCAUCACCAACAUUGAUCGUUCGUGCUAAUUUUUCUAUUAUAUACUAUCCUUUGUGUAAGUUCCUCGAUAAAACCCUAAACCUCUUCUUACACACCGCUAAAAUUAUUGAACAAAGAGGAAUUCAAUAAUUUUGGUGUUUCUCAAGAACUCCUUGGUAAGAUCACCUUGAAUCCUCAAUCUUCCUUAUCUUCUUCCUUUUUUGUUGCUGUUGUCCUAAUCUAUUUGCUUAUAAUUAAUUUGUGGUUUUUGUUUCCAUAGUUUUUGAACAUUCUUGAAUUAGGACGAAAUCAAGAUGACUUUGAGGCUGAAGGAUUGAUUUGGGGUUUUUAUUAGUUUUGGGAUUUUGGGGUUCCUAAUUAGGGUUUGCUGCAAUUAUAGAUUUCAAUUGCUAAUAUGUUUCCUCUUUGUUCUUUUUUGUUUUUCCCAGGGGAACACCAUAGAAGAUCAAAUUCUACCUAUGCUUUGUCUCUUUGUGUUUUGAGGUUUUAAUUUAAUUUAGGAUUUCAUCCCGAACCUGUUCUCUUUAUUUAUUUGUUAGUAGGAGUGAAAUUGUGGUUUUUGGGUCCAAUUUAGCACUUUGGUUUACUAAUUUGUGUUUUUUUAAUUCAAAACUUCUGAAUAAGGUUUUAAAUAUAUUUUGGGUUCUAUUUGUUGUUAUCCAUAUAAUUGUAGACAAGCUAUGAGUCUUCCAUGUUUGAAAGACUUAAUCUUCAUCAAAAUAUAUGAACACUAACAAAAAUAUUUUUAAUUUUACAUUUCGUAGGAUUUAGUUUUCUGUAUUUUGGUUGGUUGGUUUUGAUUUAAUUUAUUGGGUAUCAAACCUGUGAAGAAGUUUGGAGAGCAAGCUUGAUCAGCUUUGUGGAGGCUCUUUGUGUUCUAAACCUGCUUGUAUGUUAGUAAGAGCAAAGUAGAUGGUGAGGUCUUGGGUUCAAGAUCCAGCCAAUGUAUGUGUAUCUUACUUAUAAAAAAAAAUGUAGGUUAGCUCAGUCUUUAGGCUUAUCAUAGCAAUUUCUGUUGUAAUUUUGUACAAUAUAAGCUCUGUUCCAUUUCAAUUCCUUUUAUACAUUGUAUAGUUUCUUCUUAUAGUGUUAUAGUUUUUUCAAUGAUAUGAUUGUGAUUUAAAAUGGUAUGGAGAGCUGCAAAGAUAUGUUUGAUCUAAAUUCCAAAAGGAGCAGCCAGGAGCAGCUAUGCUAAUUGUUACUCCCUAUAAGAUGCAUUUAGAUUUUAUUUAUUUUGCCACUUCCCUUAUUGUUAUAUCACUGAAUUAUCCUCUAGACUUAUUAUAUUUGUAAAUGCUCUUGAUGAAUUUUUUUCAUAUUAGGGAAGUUAUUAAUUAUCUCUAAUUUGUUUUAAUUGGAACUCUUACAAUACAAAUAUGUAAGUACAUAUAUGUAAUUGCAGGUACAGAGCUACAGCCAUGCUUAGCAUGCCAUCAACCUCAUUGAAAUUUAUGUUGCAUAAAGGAUAUAAGAAAGUUGUGUUGUUUUCACCUUGCAAUGGCAAAGACAAGAUUUAGCAAAAUAAGUACAUGAGCAUCCAAAGUUUUAUUCAGCAAAAAUAUAAUCAGGAUGAGAUUUUGAUUGGUUUCUCAUGUCAGGUGGUUUCUUUUACCCAAAUUUGUGUUGUGGACUUUUAUUAUUGCCCAUAAUCCAUCCUAUGAUCCUUGCUUGACACUUGAGGUUAGAAGAAAAGGAGAGAGCCCCCCUUUUUAAAUUUUUUUUUUUAUUCCAUAGCUAUUUUCAACCAGACAAGACUUGGUUUUGGGGCAUUAAUUGUAAGGCCAUGAAAGUUCUUAAAUUGAAGGAUUUACAUUGGCAACUGCUUAUUCUUAACUUAAAUUUGUUAAGAUU